GGCGGUGUAGCUCAGUUGGUAGAGCAGGCGGCUCAUACCCGCUAUGUCCAGGGUUCGAAUCCCCGCACCGCUA
rnacentral:tRNA from 7 species